CUUUUGAACUCUCUGUGUAAAUCACUUCUUUCUACUUACUUGCUGUGCUUCUCUGAGUGCCUCGUGGCCUCUUUAUCACCACCUGUUGAAGGAAAUGUUAGAUCCAGAUAUGGAUGGAAGGGACUUUCGUAGCUAUAGAAACGAGGACUGAUUGGCACAAAGUUCCUGGGCUCUCCAGCCACAGUCGUCAUUUGGAAGGGAAUUCUAAGUCACCAGAGAGCUAACACUUAUUCUUGGGAGAAUGUAAGAGCAAAUCCUCCUUACGCUGCCAAACUGGCACAGGAUACUGCAGCCACUCUGCAAAUGAACAGUGCACAAUAAACAGGCCGAGAGAGAAAGCUUAAAGUUCUAAAAGCCCUCUUGAGGGAAGUGAGAAGGCAGUUCCUGGGAACAGUGAACAAAUGCCGUCAGAAGGUGGAAUCAUUGAUUUCAAUCAUGAAUGACUAAUGAUCGUGAUGGUGUGGUUUAGAACAGAAAUGCAGCUUCUACAGCCUGAAGAACUACCAGCCUUCUCUCCUGUGAUGUUCCAUUUAUACUUGCUUAAUAAAAGCAUCCCAA
rnacentral:lncRNA from 1 species